GCAUACUAUACAUGCAGUCGAGCGAACAGAUAAGGAGCUUGCUCCUUUGACGUUAGCGGCGGACGGGUGAGUAACACGUGGGUAACCUACCUAUAAGACUGGGAUAACUUCGGGAAACCGGAGCUAAUACCGGAUAACAUUUGGAACCGCAUGGUUCUAAAGUGAAAGAUGGUUUUGCUAUCACUUAUAGAUGGACCCGCGCCGUAUUAGCUAGUUGGUAAGGUAACGGCUUACCAAGGCGACGAUACGUAGCCGACCUGAGAGGGUGAUCGGCCACACUGGAACUGAGACACGGUCCGACUCCUACGGGAGGCAGCAGUAGGGAAUCUUCCGCAAUGGGCGAAAGCCUGACGGAGCAACGCCGCGUGAGUGAUGAAGGGUUUCGGCUCGUAAAACUCUGUUAUUAGGGAAGAACAAACGUGUAAGUAACUGUGCACGUCUUGACGGUACCUAAUCAGAAAGCCACGGCUAACUACGUGCCAGCAGCCGCGGUAAUACGUAGGUGGCAAGCGUUAUCCGGAAUUAUUGGGCGUAAAGCGCGCGUAGGCGGUUUCUUAAGUCUGAUGUGAAAGCCGACGGCUCAACCGUGGAGGGUCAUUGGAAACUGGGAAACUUGAGUGCAGAAGAGGAAAGUGGAAUUCCAUGUGUAGCGGUGAAAUGCGCAGAGAUAUGGAGGAACACGGGUGGAAAAGGCGACUUUCUGGUCUGUAACUGACGCUGAUGUGCGAAAGCGUGGGGAUCACUCAGGAUUAGAUACCCUGGUAGU
rnacentral:rRNA from 1 species